rnacentral:rRNA from 1 species
UUGAACGCUGGCGGCAUGCUUUACACAUGCCGGUCGAGCGGCAGCGCGGGGGCAACCCUGGCGGCGAGCGGCGAACGGGUGAGUAAUGCAUCGGAACGUAUCCUCGAGUGGGGGAUAACCCAGCGAAAGUUGGGCUAAUACCGCAUGAGCUCUGAGGGGGAAAGCGGGGGACCUGCGAGGGCCUCGCGCUGGAGGAGCGGCCGAUGUCCGAUUAGCUAGUUGGUGGGGUAAAGGCUUACCAAGGCGACGAUCGGUAGCUGGUCUGAGAGGAUGAUCAGCCACACUGGGACUGAGACACGGCCCAGACUCCUACGGGAGGCAGCAGUGGGGAAUUUUGGACAAUGGGGGCAACCCUGAUCCAGCCAUGCCGCGUGAGUGAAGAAGGCCUUCGGGUUGUAAAGCUCUUUCGGACGGAACGAAAUGGGCGGGACUAAUACUCCUGUCUGAUGACGGUACCGUAAGAAGAAGCACCGGCUAACUACGUG